ensembl:lncRNA
UGAUGCUAGACCCAGGAGAGCCUGUCUUGUAAGGGGAAAUCACCAUAUAAAUUGAAAAGAAUAAAAGAAAAAAAAAAGCCAUGUUCUACUGCCAUUUAACCCUCAAGGAAUGGGAAGAAUGAUCAGAUGUCCUGCUUACUGCAAAGCUCUUCAUGAGAAAUGGAAAAUGCAUACCACCAGUUUUCAUGGAUUUCACCUGAAAACCUGUGAAGAGAAAAAAGGCAGAAAGCAUUUUUAGAUAAACGCAAGCAUAUUCCAAGAGGGAAGACCCACGUUCCUGGCACUGCACAGAAAACACACUGAUGUUUCUGUGCCUCUCCACUCACCUGCUGUCCGAAGUUGGCAGCAUCAACCUUAGGACCCUGGAAGGCAUCACAGGGGUGAGCCAGAGAAACCCCAUGGAAAAUAAGGAAAAAUCAACCUACGGUUGAGGAACAAUGUGAAGGUGAAGCCAGGUUUGCUGGAUGAGAUUUGUCUCGUGGCUAUUCAACUACCUGGGCUCUCCCUCUUCUGCACAGGACAGGAAGAGAAAUCAAGAUGGAACAGCUGGUGGGAGAUGGCCUACUGGCUAGCGUUAAAGGAAACAGAGUUUGGACUUUGGGAAAAUUGAUUUCAUUUAUUCUGGGUAAUCUUGAACACUGCUAUGCUUUUCUCUGAUUUUGAAUUAAUAGAAAUCAGAUAUAUGCUCUUAAUGAUUUGAUGAAACUUAAAUAAAUUCACGUGGUGAGGAGAGGCAAAGAUCUCUUUGUGGUUACAUGAGGAUUUCCCUCAAUGAGGUUUAUUUACAGCAACAGAUUCCACAGUGCUUUACCCAACUUGUAGAGAGGGUAAUAUCACACAGUUUUGCUGCCUCAUCUCAAAU